CCUAUGGGUGGCACCAGUGGGGAAUAUUGCACAAUGGGCGCAAGCCUGAUGCUGCCAUGCCGCGUGUAUGAAGAAGGCCUUAGGGUUGUAAAGUACUUUCAGUUGGGAGGAAGGCGUUGAUGCUAAUAUCAUCAACGAUUGACGUUACCAACAGAAGAAGCACCGGCUAACUCCGUGCCAGCAGCCGCGGUAAUACGGAGGGUGCAAGCGUUAAUCGGAAUUACUGGGCGUAAAGCGCACGCAGGCGGUUGAUUAAGUUAGAUGUGAAAUCCCCGGGCUUAACCUGGGAAUGGCAUCUAAGACUGGUCAGCUAGAGUCUUGUAGAGGGGGGGUAGAAUUCCAUGUGUAGCGGUGAAAUGCGUAGAGAUGUGGAGGAAUACCGGUGGGGAAGGCGGCCCCUGGACAAAGACUGACGCUCAGGUGCGAAAGCGUGGGGAGCAAACAGGAUUAGAUACCCGCGUAGUC
rnacentral:rRNA from 1 species